GGGCACGUAGCUCAGCUGGAUAGAGCGGUCGCCUCCUAAGCGGCAGGUCAGCAGUUCGAAUCUGCUCGUGCCCACCA
rnacentral:tRNA from 1 species